GUCUCCCCCGCCACACACGCCGCCGGGCCAGUGCUUGAUGCGUCACGUGGAAAAAAGGAGUGUUAAUAUGGUUGUUGACAUGCAUGAGCCAGGUUAACCCAGCACGACCAGCGCCAGCCAACGCUUGGCUCCGUGGCCAAGCUGUGGCGAGGCUGUCAGGCCGUGCUGGCUGGCGUGCCCUUCCCGACACGGAGGGCGUCAGUGAUUCUUCUCAAGGUGGUUCUUCUCCAAAAAUGACCAAAUGGAGAUAUGUGUUGGUUGUUGACGCGAAUCAAGGCGUUCGUAAGGAGUGGCGAUUGUGGAGCCUGGCGGCGGCCCACACCUGUGACAGACACGCUGUUGUGUUGUUUAUCCUCGGCGAGAAGCCAAGCGAGGGCCUGGCAGGGGCUGGGGGCCUGGGUGACGGCGGGAUUGGCGCGAUCGCGAAGCAGAUGUGGUGCUGGUGACGGUGACGGCGAAGAGCUGUGCGCCGCGUGGUGUGGGCGGGAGUGUAGGUGUGCUGGACCCUCCUCACGCCCUCACAGCCUCACAGGAGCCUCUUGCACUCACCUCACCAGCGUGACGCUCGUUCAUUAUAUCAGUCACUCGUGAUUCCUACGCAGCCAAGCUUUAUAAUGCAGACGAUUGAACCAUUCACUCGUUUCAUUUCGCUUCAUCGAGCGAGCCAAUCACAGGUGUCGCGAAUCCCGGUGACAGUUGCGAAAUAGAGACGACAGGACAGGUGCUGGUGGUGGUGCUGCUGUCCGUCAGUCCCCUGCAGCGACCAUGACACUCAGGCUGUUGGUGGUGCUGUGCUUGCUGCUGUUUAUUAUUAUUAUUAUUAUUAUUAUUAUUAUUAUUAUUAUUAUUAUUAUUAUUAUAUUACUUAUGGUUUGUAGUAGUGUCAAAUUCUUGUUCUUGCUAUUUUAUCAUCAAAUAUGUCCAUCACUUAUCAGUUCCCCUCAAGUGUGUGUGUGUGUGUGUGUGUGUGUGUGUGUGUGUGUGUGUGUCACUACUCUAGCGUGACGCCUCGUGGGGGGAGCAGGCAGCAGUGUGUGUGUGGGGGGGGGGGGAGGCAGGCAGGCAGGCGGCAGCAGGUGGAGGGAGAGUGCGGAAGUCACUUUCCCUUUCAGCCAAGCGACGACACGAGAGAGAGAGAGAGAGAGAGAGAGAGAGAGAGAGAGAGAGAGAGAGAGAGAGAGAGAGAGAGUUGGGACUUAGAUCUAGGGAGAGAAACAGACCGCAAUAAAGAGCUGGAGGAGAAGUAGACCGAAAGAGAGAAAGGUGAGAGCUGGAGAGAGAGAGAGAGAGAGAGAGAGAGAGAGAGAGAGAGAGAGAGAGAGAGAAACCGUACCACUAUGACAAUCGAGGUGAAGGAAGAAUGAUAGGAAAGUGGAGGAGAAAGAAAACUUGCAGAGGAUCAGGAGUAAGAAUGAAAAGGAAGAAGGUACAUACAGGGAAGUAUAGAGAAGACGUAGAAGAGAAGAAAUAGGUGAACAUAGAAGGACUGCACUACGAUUAAGACAUUGUGAGAUAGAAGAUAAAAAAUAUGAAGCCAAUGAAAGAGAAAUAUAUCAGGAAACGAAAGACAGCCAAGGAGGAACAAUAAGGGUGUGGAGGGAAAACAAGAACGUUCAUAGAGAAGAGGAAAACAAUGAAAAUAGAGACAGACAGGAAAGGACAGUAAAUAUAAGGAAGGUUAGAGGUAGGGAAGUAUAAACAGGAGGAUGAGGAGAAUAAAAUAAGGUGAUAGGAAUAGACAGACCAGAAGGUUUAAGGGAAAAAUGUAAAAAAAAAAAAAAGAGAAGCUGGUAUUGGGAAAAAUGAGUAGGAAUUGAAGACGAAAGUGGAAGUACGAAAAAAAUGAUGAAAAGUGUAAAGAGGAGGAAGUUUAGAAUAGAAUACGGAGGUAGGAAUGGACGAACAAGAAAGUGAAAGGGGUUAAAAAAUAUGAAAAACAAAGAUAGAGAGAGAGAAGUAGAAUAAAGUGAAAAAAAGGAGGUAGGAAUAGACAAAACAAGAAAGUGAAAGGGGUUAAAAAAUAUGAAAAAGAAAGAUAGAGAGAGAGAAAUAGAAUAAGAAGAAGAGGAAGUAGAAAUAGACAAAACAAGGAAGUGGAAGAGGGAAAAAUGAUGAAAAAUAUAGACAGGAGGAAGAAUAAAGAGUAAAAUGAGAAGGUAGGAAUAGAGACAAGAAAGUAUAAAAGGAAAAAAAGAAGUAUGAUAAGAAAAAGAAGUUACGAAUAAAAAAACAAGAAAACGAGAGAGAGAAAAAUGACUAAAACUAUUGACAAGAGGAAGAGUAGAAUAAGAAAAGGAGAUAGAAAUAGAAAGACAAGAAAGUGGAAGAGGGAAAAAAAUUAUGAAAAAUAUAUAGAAGAGGAGGAGGAGGAAGAGAAGAACGACAAUGAGGAGAAAAGCACUGGGAGAGAGGAACGACCAAAAAAACAAACAAACGGGAAAGUAGAAAGGAAGGGGAAGGGGAGAGAGGGAGGUGUCUGUAUGUAAGUAUGUAAGUCACGUGAAAGUUCUGGUACUGUGUCUUUGUGUGUGUGUGUGUAUGUGUGUCAUAACUUACAGGAAACGGAUGAGACACUUGACUAUAAUGAAAUGUGACGAGAGUGUCGAUUGAUAACCAACACAGUACAAACAAACUCACUCGCUCCC